UCUGGUUCUAUUUAUUCACAAGUAUCAAUACAAGUCUUCCUGUUCUAGGAUAUUAUUAGUAAUAUAUAUUUGGUUAUGAUAUGGUUCUUUGUGUUAUGAGUAGUACCAAGAAAAAUGUUAUCUCAGGAAAAAAGAGAUGGAAAUGAACAUGUUAGAAAAAGAACACAAGGCAGUGUCGCCCAAGGAUGUUUGGCUGAUAGGUUGCUGAGGAACAUGGAAAAACAAGCUAGGAUGAUGCUCUAGAAACGUCGCCUAGUUAACUUAGUAUUUUGAAACAAUUUGAACAAUUUAUGUUUGGCUGAUAGGUUGCUGAGGAACAUGGAAAAACAAGCUAGGAUGAUGCUCUAGAAACGUCGCCUAGUUAACUUAGUAUUUUGAAACAAUUUGAACAAUUUAUGUUUGGUUUGUAAUGUGAUGAUUGUGGCAAAGUUUUAGACUACUUGCAUGAAAUCUAUUAAUCUUUAUCGAAACAAAUAGUGUUAUGGAA